rnacentral:misc_RNA from 1 species
AAAAGCCUAUCUGUAUAAUUGAAAUCACUUAUGAUUUAUGAAAAUCAUCGAUCAUGCAUUGGCCUUCUCUAAGAUAGUUCACUAAUAAGUUAGUUCUUGGCGAUCACAUUCUCCACUGUAUUAAGCUGCAUUUUCCUAAAUUAAGUUGAAAAAAAUCACUUAUCCCUGCAGUUAUAUUCUCAGUUUUCAUAUAAGGAUGCUUUUA